UUAUAUGCCAUAUAUCCUCCCCUGUUUUGAGACUGAACUUCAUCCUAUUCCAAAAUGAAAACCAGUUUUCUUCUCAUUUUUACAUCCCUCUUAUUCCAAAUAAUUGGUUUAAGCAUCAUUACAGCUUCUUCAAAUGUUACAUGUAUCCAAAGGGAGAGGCGGUCCCUUCUUGUUUUCAAACAAACCCUCACAGACACAUCUAAUCUUCUGUCAACAUGGAGCGGAGUAGAAUGUUGUCACUGGCAGGGAAUUGGGUGUGACCGUCUGAAUGGUCAUGUUGUGAAACUUGAUCUUCGAUCUUUGAAUUUCAGCAGACGCCUUGUAGGUAAGUUGAGUCCUUCUUUACAGAAUUUGAAACAUCUGCGUUACUUGGACUUGAGCGUAAAUCAAUUCUCAGGAAGCAUUCCUGAAUUCAUGGGUUCGUUUAAACAUUUGGAAUACCUUAAUUUAACACACUCAGGUUUAAGCGGGGUAGUUCCUCAUCAUCUAGGAAAUCUCUCAAGGUUACAAUAUCUUGAUCUUAGUCAUGGUCCUCUCAUGGAUGAUCUUGAUCGUAGAAUUUCAUAUGGAUAUGAUAUUGGAGCCCCUAGGCCUGUCAUAGAUGAUUUAGGAUGGGUGUCUUCCCUGCGGUCAUUAAGGCACUUGGAUUUAUCAUAUAUGUCCCUUGAACAUAUUGAUUGGUUCCAUCCAAUCAACAUGCUACCUUCUUUGCUUACACUGAACUUGGCAUCGUGUGAUGUCAAUAUCCCUUCAGUUAAAGUCGUCAAUUUCACGUCUCUUAAUUCACUGGACCUCUCCUCCAAUCUUAUUAAUUCAACCAUUCCUGUCUGGUUAUCAAACCUUACUGGCCUCAUGCAUCUAAACUUUGAACUCAACCACUUCCAUGGUAAAAUUCCUGAUUUCAUGGGAAUGUUCAGCGCUCUUGCUUCCAUCGACCUCUCGACCAAUUCCUUUGAAACUUUGAUGCCAGAUACGUUAUUUAAUUUGAGCAGCCUCAUUCAUAUGGACCUUUCGGGGAACAAGUUUUCUGGUCCUAUUCCCGUAAACCUUGGACUACUCUUAAGGCUAGAAGACCUAGCUCUUGGUGAUAAUCAAUUGAGUGGGAACAUUACCUUGAGUCUUGGGGAGCUUUCAAAGCUCAAGACUCUAGAUCUCUCCGAAAAUUCGUUGGUCGGGGUCCUUUCCCAAACUCAUUUCACCAAGCUAAAGAAUCUAAAUUGUUUGAUGUUGUCUGAUAAUUCGCUAGCGUUGAAUUUCAGCUCUCGAUGGAGGGCCCCCUUCCAACUACAGGUACUCUAUGCAAGUUCCGUCAACAUCGGACCCCAAUUCCCGAAAUGGCUUCAAACACAAACAAAUCUUCAGAGAUUAGAUCUUUCUAACUCGGGUAUUAGCGAUACAAUACCAGAGUGGUUUGAGAACAUCUUGUCUCAUAUUCUUGACUUGGAUUUGUCAUAUAACCAUAUCGGUGGCAAACUGCCACGAUUUCAUUUCAAGAGUAGUGCCCAAAUAUUGGAUGGGAUUUCCCUAAAGUUGAACUCAAACAAGUUUGAGGGGUCACUAGCAAACUUUCCAGAAAAUUUGUUGAUUUUGGAUCUAUCAGAUAACUUACUGUCAGGACAUGUGCCCCAAACAGAUGGAGCAAUGAGCCCAAGUCUCCAAGUUGUUAAUCUCUCAAAAAAUCGUUUCACAGGAAACAUUCCAGUACACUUAUGCAAUGUCCUUAGCAUCCAACUUUUAGAUUUAUCACAAAAUAAGUUUUCUGGAAGGCUUCCUGGAUGCUUAGGGAACUUAACUAAUUUGCAGGUGAUAAAUCUUGCAAAUAACACCAUAACCGGUGUUGUUCCAAGUUCCUUGGGUUCUCUAAUACAACUAAACUCGUUGCACUUGCACAACAACAGAAUUGAGGGGGGUAUCCCGCUAUCCUUACAAAACUUGACACGACUUGUUACAAUGGAUUUAGGGAAAAAUAUGCUCAUGUGUGAUAUCCCUUUUUGGAUUGGUGAAAAGCUCUCUGACCUCAGAAUUUUAAAUCUGGAGUCGAAUAAGUUUACAGGAAAGAUUCCUUUACAGCUUUGUAAACUCCAUGCUCUUCAAUAUUUAAGCUUGGCACAUAAUAACAUAAUCGGAACAAUCCCUCAUUGCUUUGGGAAUUUAAGUGGUAUGAUCACGAGUUCCAACUGGAUAACAUUUGGAUCGAUGCAAACCUAUGAUGAAAAUAUUUUGGUUUCCACAAAGGGAAGGCAACAAUCGUACACCAGAACAGUACUAAGGUUUUUUAUAUCAAUAGACCUCUCUAACAACAAUAUCGUUGGAGAACUGCCUGAUGCUCUAAUGUAUCUUCUGGGGUUGAAGAGCUUAAAUCUCUCUGGAAACCUUCUAAAAGGACAUAUUCCAGUAAUCAUUGGAAAUCUAAAGCAACUGGAAUCUUUAGAUUUGUCGAUGAACAACCUGUCUGGUCGGAUUCCCCAAAGUUUGGGUAGCUUGACCUUUCUAAGCUACUUGAACCUGUCAUUCAAUGAUUUAUAUGGCCGAGUUCCAGCUGGAAAUCAGCUUCAGACUCUUGAUGACCCAACUAUUUAUGAAGGGAACAAUGGACUAUGUGGGCCACCAGUUUUAAGAAGUUGCAAUGAAGAUGAUGUAAGAGACAAUCAUGUUGGUAAGAAUGAAGGUCAAGAUGAUACUGAAGACUUGUGGUUUUAUACUGGCAUGGGCCCAGGGUUCUUUGUUGGAUUUGUUGGACUACUUGGGAGUCUGCACUUCAUUACUAGGUGGAGAUUGGUUUACUUUGGGACUCUUGAAAACGUUUACAGUUGGUUAACGUUGUCAAUUCUACUUAAUCUUGGUCACCUAAGAAGGAAACUUUUCAAAUGAGGUUGUUACAAUCGUCAAUAUGGGUGAACUUGAGAUACUACUGGAGUUCAUUAAGGUUAUUACUAUCAAUGUUGUGAAUGGAGGGUGGCUCAAGCGUUAAAAGCCAUUUGUUUUAAUAAAUGUAACGAGUUAAGACUUUUAAAUUCCUAUUAAGUUGUUAAAACCUCUUAUGUUUUGAAUAUUUAUAAAAUUAUAUUUGUAAAAUUACCAUUUGGAUGUUAUAGGAAGAAUGAAUAAAAUGUAAGAUUAAAUAUAUUA